AUGCUAAGGAACUCCAGGAAGGCCAACAAUUCUCUGUAGAUGCUCAUAUGCUGGGAAAUUUGGAACGAAAGGAAUGCUACGGUCUUUCGCUCCAAAGCAACACUUCCUUCCAGGGUGGUUGCGACGAUUAAGGAUGAGGCAAAAACUUGGGUUAUCGCAGGGGCUAGAUUAUUGGGAAACUUAAUUCUGGGAGAGUGA
rnacentral:rRNA from 1 species